AGAAGAAGCAGUCAGAGGGUGGAGAAGCGUUUUGACAUGGCAGACAGACCUUUUGAUGAUCCACCACAGAUUUUCAAUGGGGCUCAUGUCUGGGGAUUGAGCUGGCCAUUCUAAGACCUGGAUACAGUGUUCCUGCAGCCAAGUUCUGCUGGCCCUGGAUGUGUGGCAAGGGGCAUUAUCUUGUUGAAACAUUCAGUUUUGACAUCGAUGGAACAGUGCACGUACAGAAGGGAGCAUGUGGGUUUCGAGAAUGGCACAAUACUUGGCAGAGUUCAAUGUGCUAUCACAGACAGUGAGAUGGCCAACACCAGCAGCACUUAUGCAUCCCCAAACCAUGAUAAUGCCUCCACCAUGCUUGACAGUAGGGGCUUCUUGACAGCCUUGUAGGACACCAGUUUGGUUUGAACACUGCUGCUGAAGCUCCUGUGAUGUCAUUCAGCGAUUUUCCCUGCACAUGUGGAUCAGGAUGUGGUUAUUUCUUGCUGAAGAAAUCCUUGGAUGCCCAGAUCUUGGUUUGUCUUCCAAGCUGUUGGUUCAUCAGUAUUUCUGCAGAGUGUAUCUAACUGCUGAAGGGCUGCAUCUGCACUUCCUGGCUAUCUGGCGGGAGUUGUACCCUUCCUGGCUGAGAAUCUGUAUCUUCAGGCGUGUUUCUUGCAUUAGGUUUCUUGUUUUAGCCAUUUUUGUCCCCUGAAGAACUUUCAAAUGUGCUGGCAACAAAAAUUGUGUCUUAAUAAAAAGCAUGACCUUCAUUAGUGGAUCACUGGUACCAAAAUGACCCAAUACUCAAAAUUGCUUAUGUAUUUUUAUAGAACCAAUCAAUUUUAAGCUUUUAAUUGCUUUUUUAGGAUUUGUUUAGUAUUUUGGCUGUGACUGUACUAAAAGAAAUUG